UACGUAGGGUGCGAGCGUUGUCCGGAAUUACUGGGCGUAAAGAGCUCGUAGGUGGUUUGUCGCGUUGUUCGUGAAAACUCACAGCUCAACUGUGGGCGUGCGGGCGAUACGGGCAGACUGGAGUACUGCAGGGGAGACUGGAAUUCCUGGUGUAGCGGUGAAAUGCGCAGAUAUCAGGAGGAACACCGGUGGCGAAGGCGGAUCUCUGGGCCGUAACUGACGCUGAGGAGCGAAAGCAUGGGGAGCGAACAGG
rnacentral:rRNA from 1 species